GGUAAUGCCGGAUGCUCCGACUCCUCGCAUGGGGUGUCGGGAAAGAUUAUAUCGGUAUGGGAUGGGGUCGCGUCCUAUCAGGUAGUCGGCGGGGUAACGGCCCACCGAGCCUACGACGGGUAGCCGGCCUGAGAGGGCGACCGGCCACAUUGGGACUGAGAUACGGCCCAGACUCCUACGGGAGGCAGCAGUGGGGAAUAUUGCACAAUGGGCGCAAGCCUGAUGCAGCGACGCCGCGUGCGGGAUGACGGCCUUCGGGUUGUAAACCGCUUUUGAUCGGGAGCAAGCCUUCGGGUGAGUGUACCUUUCGAAUAAGCACCGGCUAACUACGUGCCAGCAGCCGCGGUAAUACGUAGGGUGCAAGCGUUAUCCGGAAUUAUUGGGCGUAAAGGGCUCGUAGGCGGUUCGUCGCGUCCGGUGUGAAAGUCCAUCGCUUAACGGUGGAUCUGCGCCGGGUACGGGCGGGCUGGAGUGCGGUAGGGGAGACUGGAAUUCCCGGUGUAACGGUGGAAUGUGUAGAUAUC
rnacentral:rRNA from 1 species